AGGAGAGGAAACAGAAGUUUGCUUUCCGGUGCUCUCCACUCAGCUCCACAGACUGAGCCUCUAAUUAAAGUGAUUUGUGACUCAUUUGCAGUAUUACAGUUUACAGAUGGAAGCGUCUUGAUCUGCCAAAGCUUCCUUUCAGCACAGAGCGAUCCACUGAACAAGGAUAGAGAGAGAAGACAAAGAACUAGAUUUGUACAUUUUCAAGAAACCCCCCAGGGUCGGCCUCUCCACUCAAGAGUGCACGCAGGCACUCUAACCUACUAUCUACACCACAUACGUGCACAGUCUCAGUGAGGUGAAGAGAGCAGACGUGAGAGAACGACACUUUACGGGCAGCCACAUCCUGAGGAAGAGAAAGCAACAUGCUCAGCGCAGGCCAUGAGAAUGUCAGCCACUGGAAAGAGCUGGGCUCUCACACACACAAACCAGACACACCACGAGAGCAAAGGAAAGAGGUGGAGGUGCAGAAGAAAGGGAGUGAUAAAAUGAAAAGGUAGCAAACAGAGGCAUGCUUCAAAGACCAGAGCGGAAGGGUGCAGAUCGCUGCAGGGCAGACACAUUAUAGCCACCGUGACCAACCUCUCUCUCUCUCUCUCUCUCUCUCUCUCUCUCGGUUGUGAAUGAGGAAACCUCUGAAGCUGAUCUCCUGACCGACUUCUCCAGUCCAGGCCUUGCGAUGCAGUUAAUGGAAACCAGACCCUUCUCGUCCAUCUUCCACCACUGACACCUUGUAACACUCUCUGGAGGGGUGCGUGUGUGCACACGUUCACACCCAUAUGGUCCGGCAGGGGAGCUGUGG